rnacentral:rRNA from 1 species
AGUGAACGCUGGCGGUAGGCCUAACACAUGCAAGUCGAACGGCAGCACAGUAAGAGCUUGCUCUUACGGGUGGCGAGUGGCGGACGGGUGAGGAAUACAUCGGAAUCUACUUUUUCGUGGGGUUUACGGAGGGAAACCUUGCCCUAAUACCCAUACCGCCCUCCGGUUGAAACCGGGGAACUUUCGACCUUGUCCCGAUUGAAUUGCCGGAUGUCGGAUUACUUAGUUGGCGGGGUAAAGCCCCACCAAGGCGACGAUCCGUAGCUGGUCUGAGAGGAUGAUCAGCCACACUGGAACUGAGACACGGUCCAGACUCCUACGGGAGGCAGCAGUGGGGAAUAUUGGACAAUGGGCGCAAGCCUGAUCCAGCCAUACCGCGUGGGUGAAGAAGGCCUUCGGGUUGUAAAGCCCUUUUGUUGGGAAAGAAAAGCAGCAGGUUAAUACCCCGCUGUUCUGACGGUACCCAAAGAAUAAGCACCGGCUAACUUCGUG